UGCAUUAUGAGCUGUUGCUGCUACCACCUGCUUCCUACAUGCGCAGACUCAGUGAACUUGGAUGUACAGCUGAUAGAAAAUGCUUAAUCUCAAAAAUCUUUUAUUGCUGAGCAAGAUGCCAAUAUGGUAUGGGGUAGCAAUAACUAAAACAUCCCUGCGUUAUCAGCACUGUUUCCUGCACAGAUCCAAAACCUAGCCCUAUUCUGGCUACUAUGAAGAAAAUUAACUCUACAUGAGCCAAAACCAGCACAGUCCUAUUUUCUAACUGUUCAAUCAUCCUCAUUGCCCUUCUCUGGACUCUUCCAAACAAUCCAUAAAAAUCUGUAACUGCAGGGGCUAUAAAUGAGCAUGUUACUCCAGCUCAGGCUUUCUCCUUCUGAAGAUGGAAGAGUGCUUUCUUAGGGUGAAGAAGUGCACUGACUAGGAAAAAAAAGAAAGUGUGUGAAGAUACUGUGUGAUCUGCUUUCUCUGGAAAAACAUAUAUGGCUUGAGCCUUGGAGAAAAUUAUCUGCUUGAUUUUGGUGGAGGCUGGAACUGAUCUGUGCUGCCUUUUUGCAGUGGGUGAAUCUGGGCAGC